rnacentral:rRNA from 1 species
UACGAGGGGGGCAACUGUUGUUCGGAAUCACUGGGCGUAAAGGGAGCGUAGGCGGGCUUCUAAGUUGGAUGUUUAAACCCGGGGCCCAACCCCGGACCGGCAUCCAAAACUGGGAGUCUUGAAUAGUGGAGAGGACGGCGGAAUUGGGGGUGUAGCGGUGGAAUGCGUAGAGAUCCCCAAGAACACCAGUUGCGAAGGCGGCCGUCUGGACACAUAUUGACGCUGAGGCUCGAAAGCAUGGGGAGCAAACAGG